AGGAUGAACGCUGGCGGUCUGCUUAACACAUGCAAGUCGAACGGAGUAGAAAUACUUAGUGGCGGACGGGUGAGUAACGCGUGAGAAUCUACCUUCAUGACGGAGACAACAGUUGGAAACGACUGCUAACCCCCGAUGUACUGAAAAGGCAAAUAUUUAUAGCCUGAAGAAGAGCUCGCGUCCGAUUAGCUAGUUGGAGAGGUAAAAGCUCACCAAGGCGACGAUCGGUAGCUGGUCUGAGAGGACGAUCAGCCACACUGGGACUGAGACACGGCCCAGACUCCUACGGGAGGCAGCAGUGGGGAAUUUUCCGCAAUGGGCGAAAGCCUGACGGAGCAAGACCGCGUGGGGGAAGAAGGCUCUUGGGUUGUAAACCCCCUUUUCGUCUGGGAAGAACGCAAUGACGGUACCAGAGGAAUCAGCAUCGGCUAACUCCGUGCCAGCAGCCGC
rnacentral:rRNA from 1 species